GACGAACGCUGGCGGCGUGCCUAAUACAUGCAAGUCGAACGCAGUUGCGAACGGGUGAGUAACGCGUAUGUAACUGCCUCAUAGCGGGGGAUAACUAUUGGAAACGAUAGCUAAUACCGCCUUCUUUGAGAUGGACCUGCGUUGUAUUAGCUAGUUGGUGAGGUAAAGGCUCACCACGGCCACGAUACAUAGGCGACCUGAGAGGGAGGUCGGCCACACUGGGACUGGGGAACGGGCCAGGCUCCUACGGGAGGGAGCAGGAGGGGAACAUCGGAAAAGGACGGAAGGCUGAACGAACAACGGCGGGUGAGUGAAGAAGGUUUUCGGGUUGGAAAAGUAUGUUGAGAGAGAAGCGGUAACUAACCAGAAAGGAACGGCUAACUACGUGCCAGCAGCCGCGGUAAUAC
rnacentral:rRNA from 1 species